rnacentral:rRNA from 1 species
UUGGACAUGGGCGAAGCCUGAUCCAGCCAUGCCGCGUGUGUGAAGAAGGCCUUUUGGUUGUAAAGCACUUUAAGCGAGGAGGAGGCUACUUGGAUUAAUACUCUAGGAUAGUGGACGUUACUCGCAGAAUAAGCACCGGCUAACUCUGUGCCAGCAGCCGCGGUAAUACAGAGGGUGCGAGCGUUAAUCGGAUUUACUGGGCGUAAAGCGUGCGUAGGCGGCUUCUUAAGUCGGAUGUGAAAUCCCUGAGCUUAACUUAGGAAUUGCAUUCGAUACUGGGAAGCUAGAGUAUGGGAGAGGAUGGUAGAAUUCCAGGUGUAGCGGUGAAAUGCGUAGAGAUCUGGAGGAAUACCGAUGGCGAA